rnacentral:rRNA from 1 species
CGACCCCAGGUCAGGCGGGGUUACCCGCUGAAUUUAGGCA